AUUGAACGCUGGCGGCAGGCCUAACACAUGCAAGUCGAGCGGUAGCACAGAGAGCUUGCUCUCGGGUGACGAGCGGCGGACGGGUGAGUAAUGUCUGGGAAACUGCCCGAUGGAGGGGGAUAACUACUGGAAACGGUAGCUAAUACCGCAUAACGUCGCAAGACCAAAGAGGGGGACCUUCGGGCCUCUUGCCAUCGGAUGUGCCCAGAUGGGAUUAGCUAGUAGGUGGGGUAACGGCUCACCUAGGCGACGAUCCCUAGCUGGUCUGAGAGGAUGACCAGCCACACUGGAACUGAGACACGAUCCAGACUCCUACGGGAGGCAGCAGUGGGGAAUAUUGCACAAUGGGCGCAAGCCUGAUGCAGCCAUGCCGCGUGUAUGAAGAAGGCCUUCGGGUUGUAAAGUACUUUCAGCGGGGAGGAAGGCGAUAAGGUUAAUAACCUUGUCGAUUGACGUUACCCGCAGAAGAAGCACCGGCUAACUCCGUGCCAGCCGCCGCAGUAAAAC
rnacentral:rRNA from 1 species